rfam:Prochlorococcus marinus subsp. marinus str. CCMP1375 complete genome.
GCGGAUGUGGCGGAAUUGGUAGACGCGCAUGUUUCAGGUAUAUGUGGCCUUGUGCUGUGGGAGUUCAAGUCUCCCCAUCCGCA